AUUGAACGCUGGCGGCAGGCCGAACACAUGCAAGUCGAACGAGUGGCGGACGGGUGAGGAAUGUCUGGGAAACUGCCUGAUGGAGGGGGAUCACUACUGGAAACGGUAGCCAAUACAGCAUACCAUAGGUGGAGCCCAGAUGGGAUUAGGUAGUUGGUGGGGGAACGGCUCACCAAGGCGACGAUCCCUAGCUGGUCGGAGGGGAUGACCAUCCACACUGGAACUGAGAAACGGUCCAGACUCCUACGGGAGGCAGCAGUGGGGAAUAUUGCACAAUGGGCGCAAGCCUGAUGCAGCCAUGCCGCGUGUAUGAAGAAGGCCUUCGGGUUGUAAAGUACUUUCAGCGGGGAGGCGUUACCCGCAGAAGAAGCACCGGCUAACUCCGUGCCAGCAGCCGCGGUAAUUC
rnacentral:rRNA from 1 species